rnacentral:rRNA from 1 species
AAGCAGGGGAUCGUAAGACCUUGCGCUUUUGGAGCGGCCGAUGCCUGAUUAGCUAGUUGGUGGGGUAAAGGCCUACCAAGGCAACGAUCAGUAGUUGGUCUGAGAGGACGGCCAGCCACACUGGGACUGAGACACGGCCCAGACUCCUACGGGAGGCAGCAGUGGGGAAUUUUGGACAAUGGGCGCAAGCCUGAUCCAGCAAUGCCGCGUGAGUGAAGAAGGCCUUCGGGUUGUAAAGCUCUUUCAGUCGAGAAGAAAAGAUUGUGACGAAUAAUCACAAUUCAUGACGGUAUCGACAGAAGAAGCACCGGCUAACUACGUGCCAGCAGCCGCGGUAAUACGUAGGGUGCAAGCGUUAAUCGGAAUUACUGGGCGUAAAGGGUGCGCAGGCGGCUUUGUAAGUCAGAUGUGAAAUCCCCGGGCUUAACCUGGGAAUUGCGUUUGAAACUACAAAGCUAGAGU